AGAGCGAACGCUGGCGGCAGGCCUAACACAUGCAAGUCGAGCGCCCGUAGCAAUACGGGAGCGGCAGACGGGAUAGUAACACGUGGGAACGCGCCCUUCGGUUCGGAAUAACUCAGGGAAACUUGAGCUAAUACCGGAUACGCCCUUACGGGGAAAGAUUUAUUGCCGAAGGAACGGCCCGCGUCCGAUUAGCUAGUUGGUGAGGUAAUGGCUCACCAAGGCUACGAUCGGUAGCUGGUCUGAGAGGAUGACCAGCAUCACUGGGACUGAGACACGGCCCAGACUCCUACGGGAGGCAGCAGUGGGGAAUAUUGGACAAUGGGCGCAAGCCUGAUCCAGCCAUGCCGCGUGGAUGAUGAAGGCCUUAGGGUUGUAAAGUCCUUUUAACGGGAAGAUAAUGACGGUACCGUAGAAUAAGCCCGGCUAACUUCGUGCCAGCAGCCGC
rnacentral:rRNA from 1 species